rnacentral:rRNA from 1 species
ACGAACGCUGGCGGCGUGCUUAACCCAUGCAAGUCGAACGGAAAGGCCCCUUUGGGGGUACUCGAGUGGCGAACGGGUGUGUAACACGUGAGUAACCUGCCCUUGACUUCGGUAUAACUUCAGGAAACUGGGGCUAAUACCGGAUAGGAAUUCUUGCUGCAUGGUGGGGGUUGGAAAGCUUCGGCGGUUUUGGAUGGACUCGCGGCUUAUCAGCUUGUUGGUGGGGUAGUGGCUUACCAAGGCUUUGACGGGUAGCCGGCCUGAGAGGGCGACCGGCCACAUUGGGACUGAGAUACGGCCCAGACUCCUACGGGAGGCAGCAGUGGGGAAUAUUGCACGAUGGGCGGAAGCCUGAUGCAGCAACGCCGCGGGCGGGAUGACGGCCUUCGGGUUGUAAACCGCUUUCAGCAGGGGCGAAGCUUGUGGUGACGGUACCUGCAGAAGAAGCACCGGCUAACUACGUG